GAUGAACGCUGGCGGCGUGCCUAAUACAUGCAAGUCGAGCGAACGGACGAGAAGCUUGCUUCUCUGAUGUUAGCGGCGGACGGGUGAGUAACGCGUGGAUAACCUACCUAUAAGACUGGGAUAACUUCGGGAAACCGGAGCUAAUACCGGAUAAUAUUUUGAACCGCAUGGUUCAAAAGUGAAAGACGGUCUUGCUGUCACUUAUAGAUGGAUCCGCGCUGCAUUAGCUAGUUGGUAAGGUAACGGCUUACCAAGGCAACGAUGCAUAGCCGACCUGAGAGGGUGAUCGGCCACACUGGAACUGAGACACGGUCCAGACUCCUACGGGAGGCAGCAGUAGGGAAUCUUCCGCAAAGGGCGAGAGCCUGACGGAGCAACGCCGCGUGAGUGAUGAAGGUCUUCGGAUCGUAAAACUCUGUUAUUAGGGAAGAACAUAUGUGUAAGUAACUGUGCACAUCUUGACGGUACCUAAUCAGAAAGCCACGGCUAACUACGUG
rnacentral:rRNA from 1 species